AGAGUUUGGAUCUGGCUCAGGAUGAACGCUAGCGGCAGGCCUAAUACAUGCAAGUCGAACGGUGAUAGUGAUAUCAUAGUGGCGCACGGGUGCGUAACACGUAUGCAACCUACCUUAUACUUAGGGAUAGCCUUUGGAAACGGAGAUUAAUACCUAAUAGUACAUUUGACUGGCAUCGGUUAACUGUUAAAGAUUUAUUGGUAUAAGAUGGGCAUGCGUCCAAUUAGUUAGUUGGUGAGGUAAUGGCUCACCAAGACGAUGAUUGGUAGGGGAACUGAGAGGUUAAUCCCCCACACUGGCACUGAGAUACGGGCCAGACUCCUACGGGAGGCAGCAGUAGGGAAUAUUGGGCAAUGGAGGGAACUCUGACCCAGCCAUGCCGCGUGCAGGAUGAAGGCGUUAUGCGUUGUAAACUGCUUUUAUAUAGGAAGAAAUAGUCCUUGCGAGGAAAGUUGACGGUACUAUAUGAAUAAGCACCGGCUAACUCCGUGCCAGCAGCCGCGGUAAUACGGAGGGUGCAAGCGUUGUCCGGAUUUAUUGGGUUUAAAGGGUGCGUAGGCGGUUUAUUAAGUCAGUGGUGAAAGACGGUCGCUCAACGAUUGCAGUGCCAUUGAUACUGGUAGACUUGAGUAUGAUUGAGGUAGCUGGAAUGGAUAGUGUAGCGGUGAAAUGCAUAGAUAUUAUCCAGAACACCAAUUGCGUAGGCAAGUUACUAAGUCAUACUGACGCGAGCACGAAAUGUGGGUAUCAAACAGGAUUAGAUACCCUGGUAGUCCACACUGUAAACGAUGAUAACUAACUGUUGGCUUUCGGGUCAGUGGUACAGAGAAAUCGUUAAGUUAUCCACCUGG
rnacentral:rRNA from 1 species